UACGUAGGGGGCAAGCGUUGUCCGGAAUCAUUGGGCGUAAAGAGCGUGUAGGUGGCUCGGUAAGUCCGCUGUAAAAGUCCAGGGCUCAACCCUGGAAAGCCGGUGGAAACUGUCGAGCUAGAGUCCGGAAGAGGCGAGUGGAAUUCCUGGUGUAGCGGUGAAAUGCGCAGAUAUCAGGAGGAACACCAAUGGCGAAGGCAGCUCGCUGGGACGGUACUGACACUGAGACGCGAAAGCCAGGGGAGCGAACGGG
rnacentral:rRNA from 1 species